rnacentral:rRNA from 1 species
AUGGCAAAAAGUGUGUGGGCGCUGCGGGAUGAUGAUUCUACCCUUCCGAUAUAUGGAGAUGAAACACAAGAUGCAAAGUUAUGGUUAUUCGGGAUAAGCGAGACUCUGUCCAACAAGAAGUUUAUCGAGGUGUUAGUCACUUUGUGGGCAAUAUGGUAUGCCCGGAGGAAAGCAAUUCAUGAGCAUGAAUUCCAAAGUCUAUUGUCGACGCAUCUAUUCAUCAGCAGAUACUUGGAGGAGCUUAAGGUGUUAGAUGUGGAGACCAAGACCAGGCAUGGGGCAGCUCGGGAGGUGCCUCGAUGGGUUCCUCCGCUCACAGGACAUUGCAAGAUCAACGUCGACGGAGCUGUGGCGAAGAUGCAAUGCAGAGGGGCCGUUGGGGCCGUAUGCCGGGAUGAACAAGGGCGUUUCCAAGGGGCCUCGGCAGUGGUGUUUGAGGGCAUCUCUGAUGCAGAAACCCUAGAAGCACUUGCAUGUCGAGAAGCACUAGCGCUGAGUGAGGACCUGGACCUGGAAAGAGUACAUAUUGCUACUGACUGUCUGAGAGUCGUCCGGGAAAUCGAAGCACCAAAGAACCUUGGUGGACAUUGUAUGAUGUUUCAUGAGAUCAAAGAAUGA